AUCCGGGGGCGGAGCCGGCGGGGCGGACGGGCGGGCGCGGGCCCGGGGCCGUGAUGGGCGAAGGCGGGCUGCCCCCGGCCUUCCAGCUGCUGCUGCGCGCCUGCGACCAGGGCGACACGGACACGGCGCGGCGGCUGCUGGAGCCGGGGGCGGCGGAGCCGGCGGAGCGCGGCGCGGAGCCCGAGGUGGGCGCGGAGCCGGCGGGCGCCGAGGCGGCCGGGCCCGGGGCGGCGGCGGCGGCGGCCGGGGCGCCGGUGCCCGUGGACUGCUCGGACGAGGCCGGCAACACGGCGCUGCAGUUCGCGGCGGCCGGGGGCCACGAGCCGCUGGUGCGCUUCCUGCUGCGCCGCGGCGCCUCGGUCAACAGCCGCAACCACUACGGCUGGAGCGCGCUCAUGCAGGCGGCCAGAUUUGGGCACGUGAGCGUGGCGCACCUGCUCUUGGAUCACGGGGCUGACGUCAAUGCCCAGAACCGGCUGGGGGCCUGUGUGCUCACGGUGGCCUCUCGGGGCGGCCACCUGGGUGUGGUGAAGCUGCUCCUGGAAGCUGGUGCCUUCGUGGACCAUCACACCCUGUCGGGCGAGCAGCCGGCGGCGGCGGCAGCAGACAGCAGGAACGAGCUGCUGGACAUCACGGCCCUGAUGGCUGCCAUCCAGCACGGACACGAAGCUGUGGUGCGCCUGCUGCUGGAGUGGGGUGCGGACCCCAACCACGCGGCCCGGACCGUGGGCUGGAGCCCGCUGAUGCUGGCCGCGCUCAUCGGCAGGCUGGGUGUGGCCCAGCAGCUGGUGGAGAAGGGGGCCAACCCCGACCACCUCAGCGUGCUGGAGAAGACUGCCUUCGAGGUCGCGCUUGACCGCAAACACAGGGACCUGGCAGAUUACCUGGACCCACUGACCACCGUCAGGCCCAAGACAGAUGAGGAGAAAAGGCGGCCUGAUAUUUUCCACGCGUUGAAAAUGGGAAACUUCCAGUUGGUCAAAGAGAUUGCCGAUGAAGACCCCAACCACGUGAACCUGGUCAACGGGGACGGGGCCACCCCCCUGAUGCUGGCGGCCGUCAUGGGGCAGCUGCCCCUGGUGCAGCUGCUGGUGGAGAGGCAUGCCGAGGUCGACAAGCAGGACAGCGUGCAUGGCUGGACGGCCCUCAUGCAGGCCACCUACCACGGGAAUAAGGAAAUUGUCAAAUAUCUGCUAAACCAGGGAGCCGAUGUCGCUCUCCGAGCAAAAAACGGGUACACGGCCUUUGACCUAGUGAUGCUGCUGAGUGAUCCUGACACGGAACUUGUUCGACUGCUGGCAUCUGUCUGCAUGCAGGUGAACAAAGACAAAGGCCGGCCCAGCCACCCGCCGCCCCUGCCCCACGCGAAGGCCCGGCAGCCCUGGAGCGUCCCAGUGCUGCCCGACGACAAAGGCGGGCUCAAGUCCUGGUGGAGCCGAAUGUCCAAUCGGUUUCGGAAGCUCAAAUUGAUGCAGACUCUGCCCCGCGGGCUGUCCAGCAACCAGCCUUUGCCUUUCUGUGAUGAGCCAGAGCCAGCACUGGACACCACCAUGCGGGCACGCCCCCAGGACAAGACCAGCUGCUCGGGGCUCCCCGACGCGGCCCCCACAAUGAAAGACAACGGUCCUAGGAGCACGAGAGGAGAGAAGGAAGACGUGUUGUUGACGACCAUGCUUCGAAAUGGAGCCCCCUUCACCAGACUCCCGAGUGACAAGCUGAAGGCCGUCAUCCCCCCUUUCUUGCCCCCUUCCAGCUUUGAGCUGUGGAGCUCGGACCGGUCCAGGACAUGUCACAACGGGAAGGUGGACCCCAUGAAGACUGUGCUGCCCCAGAGAGCCAGCAGGGGCCACCCCAUGGGCAAUGGGAGCACAGAUACCACUCCUGUCAGGCCGGUUAAAUUUCCAUCUCUCUCCAGAAGCCCAGCCUCCCCUGCUAAUUCUGGAAACUUCAACCACUCACCUCAUUCCUCAGGUGGCUCCAGUGGGGUAGGGGGCAUGAGUAGGCAUGGCGGGGAGCUGCAUAAUCGCUCAGGUGGCAGCAUAGACAGUGUCCUGUCCCAGAUUGCUGCCCAAAGAAAGAAAGCAGCCGGACUCUCUGAGCAGAAGCCCAGCCAUCGGUCAAGUCCUAUUGGGCCAGCCCCUGGGUCCAGCCCUUCUGAACAACCGGUCUCCCCUGCAGGUGGUGGCAGUCCCGGUGGCAAGAAACUGGAGAUGAGCAAAAGGCCUCCGUCUGGAACUUCCACUACCUCCAAAAGCACCUCCCCCACCCUCACCCCCUCCCCUUCGCCCAAAGGCCAUGCGGCCGAGUCCUCGGUGUCCUCCUCUUCGUCCCACCGGCAGUCCAAGAGCAGUGGGGGCUCUAGCAGCGGCACCAUCACCGAUGAGGAUGAACUGACUGGAAUCCUUAAGAAAUUGUCACUUGAGAAAUACCAGCCCAUUUUUGAGGAGCAAGAGUCUGCGUCUCUUGUCCUCUGGGGGGAAACAUGGUGGAUAUGGAAGCGUUCCUCACCCUCACUGACGGCGACUUGAAGGAGCUGGGUAUUAAGACAGAUGGAUCCAGGCAGCAGAUUCUGGCAGCAAUUUCUGAACUGAAUGCAGGCAAGGGACGUGAGAGACAGAUUUUACAGGAAACCAUUCACAACUUCCAUUCUUCCUUUGAGAGCAGCGCCAGCAACACCAGAGCGCCUGGAAACAAUCCCUGUACAUGAUCCUCCUUCCUGUGGCCACCAGCGUGAACUUUCUGAAUCUCAACACUGCCUCCACACAGCCAGUGUACCAGCCACCCUCAACUCUUCCCGGUUCCCCGAAACACUCAUACCACUGUGCCUUAGUCAUGUUGUUCCCUCUGUCUGGAACACCCAUCUUUCCCUGUCCUGCUGUGGUAGUUUGGGGGCCCAGCUUCUUUCAUCUGUGACUGUGCCUUCCCAGGGGCCUCAGAGUCUUUUCUGGCUGGCAGAAGAGGAAAGGGAUGGUGAAGGUGAAGGCACAGCCAUUUCUUACUGCCUUGCUCUUAACUGCACCUGUUCCACUGGCUCCUCCUACUCCCAUUCAUCAGUGGUCACCAGCAGUCACAUGGCCAUACCUGGAUGCAAAGGACACUGGGAAACGUAGUCUUUGUUCAGGAGUGGCUUCACAGCAACAACUCCUUCCUGAGGAAGAGCAUGUUUUGGUAGAUUAGCCUUUUCUGCUACAUCUUUCUUUAAAACUUCUAACUUGUUCCCCACACUUAGACUCAUCUCUCAGAUGAAGCCUUUUCUAACCCCUCCAGUCACUGGGGCCCUUACUGCUUUGUACAUAACUCUGCUUUAAUACUUCACUGCACCUACUGCAUACAAGAUGCAACAGGAUGUGUGUGUUGAAUGCGCUUUUCUUUAUUGCAAAGACAGCCUUUUAUCCUGGAAAAUGGAGGAGUCUCAUUGUGUGAACUUGAGAGAUCCCUUAGCUUUCUGGCCCUCAGUUUCCUCAUCUGUGGUCAGGCAAGAUUAUGCUCUGAUACUCCACACCACUCAUCCCAGGUCACUGUAGGACUUUCUGCACUUCAAGUGGGAGCAGAAGGCCUUAAUAUAUUACAUUAUGGAAGAACUUCGGUGCUCACACCUUUUAGGCAAAGAAGCAGAGAAUUUGGAAUGUUUUCUAGACUCUAUUAGUGCUAUGUUUCUCAGAAAGGCAUUGACUCACGUAGUUUUUCUACCAUGUUUUAUUAGAGGGCUCUGAAUUUAAAUCCAGUAGCUUUCUGUACUAUUUUCAAGUGAGUAUUCACUCAGCCAACACUUGCUGCAUUUAUGUCAUUUGCUGUGUGCUGGGGGUAGAGGGACGAGCCAGAGCCAGUCUCCACCCUUGCAUCCUCUACAGGCAAGAGAUGUGAAUGGGAAAUCCAAUCCCAACCUUAAGGGACAGCACAGCACAGUGGAGUUGAAAGAGUUUGUGCUCUGGACUAAGGCUCAGAGUUCAGAUCCAGCCCUGUGGGUGGCCAGCUGUGUAGCCAGAAAUGGGUUACUUAGCCUCUUCAUUGGAGCUUAGCACAGAAUACAUAAAGUGCUUGGUCUGCAGGACGUAUUCUAGAUAUGGUAACCUUCACAGAAUUCUGAUCCUUCUCAUGAGCUCUGCAGGGUACAUGCUGGAUGCUUGCGAGGCCUCUCACCUCUCCUUCCCCCAGCCAUGAAUGCCCAUUUCUGCUCCAUUGGCUCUCAGAAGUCAUUACUGCAUUGCCCGGAGCCUGAUCAUGCUCUCCCUCUGCCUGUCAGUCGAGUGGGUGCUGCUGGUUCUUCGUCCUCCCAUCCUCCUACCUGCUGAAGUGAACUUUCCACAUGACUGGAGAGAAAGGGUUUCAUUUUAGUCAUCACUGACAAAUGUCUUCAUAAUUGUUCCUCACAUGCCAGCCUCCUUUAAGGAGACACGGUCAUCGGGCACCAUUGUGUGCAGCAGCUUGACCUCAGUGUCAUUCAUCCUGUCACCCCGGACGCUGGCAUGGUUUAACCCCAUCCUGCCCAUUGGGGAAACAGACAUGGAGGAGUGAAGCUGUGUGCCUAUUACACACACAGAAGGAGCAGACUGGCUUUGAACUGAACUGGUAGACUUCUGAGCCUGUGCUCUUUCCACUGACUCCCACAGGCUCCUGGAGCAAGAAGCACAGGGAUGGCCUAGGUCUGUUUGCACAUGAAAUAAAUGGCCUUGAAAUUUUUUUUUUGUACAUGAAAUAAAUGGCCUCUGAGUUAUGUGCCUUGAGAUCCUCUGCCAGC